rnacentral:rRNA from 2 species
UGGGUGACGAGCGGCGGACGGGUGAGUAAUGUCUGGGAAACUGCCUGAUGGAGGGGGAUAACUACUGGAAACGGUAGCUAAUACCGCAUAACCUCGCAAGAGCAAAGAGGGGGACCUUCGGGCCUCUCGCCAUCAGAUGUGCCCAGAUGGGAUUAGCUAGUAGGUGAGGUAAUGGCUCACCUAGGCGACGAUCCCUAGCUGGUCUGAGAGGAUGACCAGCCACACUGGAACUGAGACACGGUCCAGACUCCUACGGGAGGCAGCAGUGGGGAAUAUUGCACAAUGGGCGCAAGCCUGAUGCAGCCAUGCCGCGUGUGUGAAGAAGGCCUUCGGGUUGUAAAGCACUUUCAGCGGGGAGGAAGGCGGUGAGGUUAAUAACCUUAUCGAUUGACGUUACCCGCAGAAGAAGCACCGGCUAACUCCGUGCCAGCAGCCGCGGUAAUACGGAGGGUGCAAGCGUUAAUCGGAAUGACUGGGCGUAAAGCGCACGCAGGCGGUCUGUUAAGUUGGAUGUGAAAUCCCCGGGCUUAACCUGGGAACUGCAUUCAAAACUGACAGGCUAGAGUCUUGUAGAGGGGGGUAGAAUUCCAGGUGUAGCGGUGAAAUGCGUAGAGAUCUGGAGGAAUACCGGUGGCGAAGGCGGCCCCCUGGACAAAGACUGACGCUCAGGUGCGAAAGCGUGGGGAGCAAACAGGAUUAGAUACCCUGGUAGUCCACGCUGUAAACGAUGUCGAUUUGGAGGUUGUGCCCUUGAGGCGUGGCUUCCGGAGCUAACGCGUUAAAUCGACCGCCUGGGGAGUACGGCCGCAAGGUUAAAACUCAAAUGAAUUGACGGGGGCCCGCACAAGCGGUGGAGCAUGUGGUUUAAUUCGAUGCAACGCGAAGAACCUUACCUACUCUUGACAUCCAGAGAAUUUGCUAGAGAUAGCUUAGUGCCUUCGGGAACUCUGAGACAGGUGCUGCAUGGCUGUCGUCAGCUCGUGUUGUGAAAUGUUGGGUUAAGUCCCGCAACGAGCGCAACCCUUAUCCUUUGUUGCCAGCGAUUCGGUCGGGAACUCAAAGGAGACUGCCGGUGAUAAACCGGAGGAAGGUGGGGAUGACGUCAAGUCAUCAUGGCCCUUACGAGUAGGGCUACACACGUGCUACAAUGGCGUAUACAAAGAGAAGCGACCUCGCGAGAGCAAGCGGACCUCAUAAAGUACGUCGUAGUCCGGAUUGGAGUCUGCAACUCGACUCCAUGAAGUCGGAAUCGCUAGUAAUCGUAGAUCAGAAUGCUACGGUGAAUACGUUCCCGGGCCUUGUACACACCGCCCGUCACACCAUGGGAGUGGGUUGCAAAAGAAGUAGGUAGCUUAACCUUCGGGAGGGCGCUUACCACUUUGUGAUUCAUGACUGGGGUGAAGUCGUAACAAGGUAACCGUAGGGGAACCUGCGGUUGGAUCACCUCCUUACCAAGAAG